rnacentral:rRNA from 1 species
ACUCCUACGGGAGGCAGCAGUGGGAAUAUUGCACAAUGGGCGCAAGCCUGAUGCAGCCAUGCCGCGUGUGUGAAGAAGGCCUUCGGGUUGUAAGGCACUUUCAGUCGUGAGGAAGGUAGUGUAGUUAAUAGCUGCAUUAUUUGACGUUAGCGACAGAAGAAGCACCGGCUAACUCCGUGCCAGCAGCCGCGGUAAUACGGAGGGUGCGAGCGUUGUUCGGAAUUACUGGGCGUAAAGCGCGCGUAGGCGGACUGGAAAGUUGGGGUGGAAUCCGGGGCAUCCGACCCAGACCGGCAGCUCCAAAACUAUCAGUCUAGAGUUCGAGAGAGGUGAGUGGAAUUCCGAGUGUAGAGGUGAAAUUCGUAGAUAUUCGGAGGAACACCAGUGGCGAAGGCGGCUCACUGGCUCGAUACUGACGCUGAGGUGCGAAAGCGUGGGGAGCAAACA